GGGGAAUUUUCCGCAAUGGGCGCAAGCCUGACGGAGCAAUACCGCGUGAGGGAGGACGGCUUUUGGGUUGUAAACCUCUUUUAUCAGGGAAGAAUCGAUGACGGUACCUGAUGAAUCAGCAUCGGCUAACUCCGUGCCAGCAGCCGCGGUAAUACGGAGGAUGCAAGCGUUAUCCGGAAUUAUUGGGCGUAAAGCGUCCGUAGGUGGCUUUGUAAGUCUGCUGUCAAAGCGUGCGGCUUAACCGCAUACGGGCAGUGGAAACUAUUGAGCUAGAGUGCGAUAGGGGUAACAGGAAUUCCCAGUGUAGCGGUGAAAUGCGUAGAUAUUGGGAAGAACACCAGCGGCGAAAGCGUGUUACUGGGUCUGCACUGACACUGAGGGACGAAAGCUAGGGGAGCGAAAGGGAUUAGAUACCCCUGUAGUCCUAGCCGUAAACGAUGACAACUAGGCGUGGUUCGUAUCGACCCGAGCCGUGCCGUAGCCAACGCGUUAAGUUGUCCGCCUGGGGAGUACGCACGCAAGUGUGAAACUCAAAGGAAUUGACGGGGGCCCGCACAAGCGGUGGAGUAUGUGGUUUAAUUCGAUGCAACGCGAAGAACCUUACCAAGGCUUGACAUCCUCGGAACCUCCUUGAAAGGGGAGGGUGCCUUCGGGAACCGAGAGACAGGUGGUGCAUGGCUGUCGUCAGCUCGUGUCGUGAGAUGUUGGGUUAAGUCCCGCAACGAGCGCAACCCACGUUUUUAGUUGCCAGCAUUUAGUUGGGCACUCUAGAGAGACUGCCGGUGACAAACCGGAGGAAGGUGUGGAUGACGUCAAGUCAGCAUGCCCCAUACGCCUUGGGCUACACACGUACUACAAUGCACUGGACAAAGAGUCGCAAGUCAGCGAUGGCAAGCCAAUCUCGAAAACCAGUGCUCAGUUCAGAUUGCAGGCUGCAACUCGCCUGCAUGAAGGCGGAAUCGCUAGUAAUCGCAGGUCAGCAUACUGCGGUGAAUACGUUCCCGGGCCUUGUACACACCGCCCGUCACACCAUGGGAGUUGGUCAUGCCCGAAGUCGUUACCUUAACCGCUUGCGGAGAGGGACGCCGAAGGUGGGGCUGAUGACUGGGGUGAAGUCGUAACAAGGUAGCCGUACCGGAAGGUGUGGCUGGAUCACCUCCUUACAAGGAGACCUACCCUUUCACGUUGUCUUUGACAGCGAUGAGAAUGGUCAACUAGGUCGUUCGAAGUUGGAUGUUAGGCUUCCAAACUUGUCUAGUUUCUCGAGCUUCAGAUUAUAUGAAUGCUCAGCGGAUUAUUUCUAGCAAUAGUUACUAGCGAUGCUAGGCUAACUGCUGGAAUGAGAUCCAGUGUAAAGAACCAAGAAAACUGCAUAGUGAAGUUGUCAGGUAGAAAUAUCAAGACACCAAUGUAAUGGACUAGAACUGAUUGAAAAAAUUAGUGGUCAAGCUACAAAGGGCAGAUGGUGGAUACCUAGGCACACAGAG
rnacentral:misc_RNA from 1 species